rnacentral:rRNA from 1 species
GAUGAACGCUGGCGGCGUGCCUAACACAUGCAAGUCGAGCGGUAUAUACUGGAACGAAACUUCGGUCUAGAGAAGGUAUAGAGAGCGGCGGACGGGUGAGUAACGCGUAGGCAACCUGCCCCAUACAGAGGGAUAGCCUCGGGAAACCGGGAUUAAAACCUCAUAAUACGAAAGCUUCACAUGUUGCUUUCGUCAAAGAUUUAUCGGUAUGGGAUGGGCCUGCGUCUGAUUAGCUAGUUGGUGAGGUAACGGCUCACCAAGGCGACGAUCAGUAGCCGACCUGAGAGGGUAAUCGGCCACAUUGGAACUGAGACACGGUCCAAACUCCUACGGGAGGCAGCAGUGGGGAAUAUUGCACAAUGGGCGAAAGCCUGAUGCAGCAACGCCGCGUGAGCGAUGAAGGCCUUUGGGUCGUAAAGCUCUGUCCUUGGGGAGAAAAAAUGACGGUACCCAUGGAGGAAGCCCCGGCUAACUACGUG